rnacentral:misc_RNA from 1 species
GAUGAAGAACGUAGCGAAAUGCGAUACUUGGUGUGAAUUGCAGAAUCCCGUGAACCAUCGAGUCUUUGAACGCAAGUUGCGCCCGAAGCCAUUAGGCCGGGGGCACGCCUGCCUGGGCGUCACACGUCGUUGCCCCCCCAUCUACUCCUUCGGGAUUGCGGGGGGCGGAUGAUGGCCUCUCGUGCGCCUCGUCGCGCGGUUGGCCUAAAUGCCAAGUCCUCGGCGACGCACGCCACGACAAUCGGUGGUUGCGAAACCUCGGUUGCCUGUCGUGUGCGGUCGUCGCGCAUCGAGGGCUCGAAAAAAUUGCCGGGUUCCGGCUCGGCUUUCAACGCGACCCCAGGUCAGGCGGGGUUACCCGCUGAAUUUAAGCAUAUCAAUAAGCGGAGGA